UCAGGUGCUGCAAGUAGCAUUAAUAAUCCUCUGGAGAAUCACAGUCCUUGCCCUUCUAAUAUCGGUGCUACACAUAUCAGCCUGGAUCUCCAAUUCCUCUACGUUCUUCUUAAACACCUCAAGCUGCGUCUUAAUCGCAUUGAUCCCAAUCUUGACUGGACCAAGCUCCCCCGCAUAUUCCGCAUUCUUCACCAUCCCCCUGAUCUCAGUAUCCAACCGUUUAAUCAAAUCCUUGAUAUUAUUUAAAUCCUGAACCGCCACAUAUGUCCCUACAUACAUCGAACUGAACACCUCUGUCUGCCCUUUGAUUUCAUUCUCAUAGUUCUUCCACAGCGAGUCGAUCCAUUUCCCCAUAGAUCCCACUGGGGGUGUAGCUGCAGCGAGAGCCGCAGCCACAUGAGGAGCCGCCAUAGUUGCAGCGAGAACAGAGCAGAUGACCAGAGUGGCAAAGGUAGCCAUGAAGAUGAUGCUGGAGAGUUUUCGCCAUGUGCGAAUGCGCUUGAGCUUCUUGUCGAGCUUGUUUUGACGACGCUGAAGCUUAUCGAGCAUCCACUUCUGCUGGUUGUAAACAGAUUGGAACAUCUUGAAGAAGUCUUGGUCGAAAGGUCUGUCUGCGUCUUUGAACCUCUUCAGCUCUUGAAGUGUCUUCUUGUAUCCGUUCCCAUCUGCGAACCAGAAAAAGAUGAGUGUUAAAGUCAAAACCAGAAGAAAACAAAAGAGAAAAUAAGAAAAGUCUUGCCUUGAAUAAGGCUCUCUUCUUCAAAAUGCUGAACAGCACCAAGAAUGAAAAGGUGAUUAAUUUGUACUCCUUGCAGGCCUCUCUUCAAAGCAUUAAAGAAGUCGAGCGUCUUCAAGCUAGUCUCAAAGGAAUCAAACGAGAGCGAUCGAACCUCGACGCCUGUAGCUAGCGUGCUUAUCACGUGACUCGUCCGUGCCUGCAUACGUGUGUCGAAAGACUGAAUCUCCAUGUCUUCUUUACAUGCAGCCUCGUACGAUCUCAGUUCCGUUGUGUAGUUCCUACCCGAUUUCUCCUUUGACUUUCUGCUUGUUUUGUUUCC